UUGAUCCUUUCGAUAUUUAGUAAAAAAUAAGUUCAUUAAGAUAGUAAGAAAAGGUUUUGAAUGCUCACAAUUUUUCAAUCCUUAGACACGAGCGCUUUGCAUGUCGUAAAUGUCUUUAAUCGUUUCGAAUCUGUAUCUUCUUUUCAAGUACGAGAAUAUACGCAGGUCCAAUUAAGAAAAGUUAUAUUUUAAAUUUUUGAAAGAAAUUAACAAUCUCAAUUUUCAUCACCCUCUCUCUUAUUUAACUUGUA